rnacentral:rRNA from 1 species
GUCUACAAUCCUAACACACUGAGCACACCUAGUCUCAGAAGCUAAGCAGAGUUGGGCCGGAUUAGUUAGAUGAAUGGGAGAAAUGACAGGGAGUGUUGGAU